rnacentral:tRNA from 2 species
GGUCGUAUAGCUCAGUGGGAGAGCACUUCGUUGACAUCGAAGGGGUCGCUGGUUCAAUCCCAGCUACGACCACCA